rnacentral:pre_miRNA from 1 species
AAAGUACUCCCUCCGUCCCAAAAUUAUUGUCUUAGAUUUUUCUAGAUACGGAUGUAUCAAGUCACAUUUUAGUAUUAGAUACAUCCGUAUCUAGACAAAUCUAAGACAAGAAAUUUGGGACAGAGGGAGUAGUUG